rnacentral:rRNA from 1 species
GACGAACGCUGGCGGCGUGCUUAACACAUGCAAGUCGAACGGAAAGGCCCUGCUUUUGUGGGGUGCUCGAGUGGCGAACGGGUGAGUAACACGUGAGUAACCUGCCCUUGACUUUGGGAUAACUUCAGGAAACUGGGGCUAAUACCGGAUAGGAGCUCCUGCUGCAUGGUGGGGGUUGGAAAGUUUCGGCGGUUGGGGAUGGCCUCGCGGCGUAUCAGCUUGUUGGUGGGGUAGUGGCUUACCAAGGCUUUGACGGGUAGCCGGCCUGAGAGGGUGACCGGCCACAUUGGGACUGAGAUACGGCCCAGACUCCUACGGGAGGCAGCAGUGGGGAAUAUUGCACAAUGGGCGGAAGCCUGAUGCAGCAACGCCGCGUGCGGGAUGACGGCCUUCGGGUUGUAAACCGCUUUCGCCUGUGACGAAGCGUGAGUGACGGUAAUGGGUAAAGAAGCACCGGCUAACUACGUG